rnacentral:rRNA from 1 species
GAUGAACGCUAGCGGGAGGCUUAACACAUGCAAGUCGAGGGGCAGCAUAGGGUAGCAAUACUCUGAUGGCGACCGGCGCACGGGUGAGUAACGCGUAUGCAACCUACCCUUUACCGGGGGAUAGCUCGGAGAAAUCCGGAUUAAUACCCCAUGACAUUCCGGGGGCGCAUGUUUCCGGGAUUAAAACUACGGUGGUAAAGGAUGGGCAUGCGUAACAUUAGCUAGUUGGUGAGGUAACGGCUCACCAAGGCUACGAUGUUUAGGGGACCUGAGAGGGUGAUCCCCCACACUGGUACUGAGACACGGACCAGACUCCUACGGGAGGCAGCAGUGAGGAAUAUUGGUCAAUGGGCGCAAGCCUGAACCAGCCAUCCCGCGUGCAGGAAGAAGGCGCUAUGCGUUGUAAACUGCUUUUGCAGGGGAAGAAAAUACCGGUCGUGACCGGGACUGACAGUACCCUGUGAAUAAGCA